AUGAUCCCUAUAGGGCGCGGUCAGCGAGAGUUCAUUAUUGGGGACAGACAGACUGGCAAAACAGCAGUAGCCACAGAUACAAUUCUCAAGAAAAAAGGGCAAGGUGUAAUAUGUGUUUAUGUAGCUAUCGGUCAAAGAGCAUCCUCCAUAGCUCAAGUAGUAACUACUUUCCAUGAGGAGGGGGCCAUGGAAUACACUAUUAUAGUAGCUGAAAUGGCAGAUUCACCUGCUACAUUACAAUACCUCGCUCCUUAUACGGGAGCAGCCCUGGCUGAGUAUUUUAUGUACCGCGAAUGGCAUACUUUAAUAAUUUAUGAUGAUCUCUCCAAACAGGCACAAGCUUAUUGCCAAAUGUCCCUUCUAUUAAGAAGACCUCCCGGCCGUGAGGCUUAUCCAGGGGAUGUUUUUUAUUUGCAUUCACGCCUUUUAGAAAGAGCCGCUAAAUUAAAUUCUCUUUUAGGCGAAGGAACUAUGACCGCUUUACCAAUAGUUGAGACUCAAUCUAGAGACGUUUCCGCCUAUAUUCCUACUAAUGUAAUCUCCAUUACAGAUGGACAAAUAUUCUUAUCUGCGGAUCUAUUCAAUGCCGGAAUUCUACCCGCUAUUAAUGUGGGUAUUUCUGUUUCCAGAGUAGGAUCCGCGGCUCAAAUUAAAGCCAUGAAACAAGUAGCUGUCAAAUCCAAAUUGGAACUAGCUCAAUUCGCAGAGUGA
rnacentral:rRNA from 1 species